rnacentral:misc_RNA from 1 species
GGCGGAAUUCACAGGGGACUCAACUGGGUCUUGGUGAUAACCUUGGGACCAACCGACGGCCUUCUUCUUCUCUUAUUGAUGGUGGUAUGGUGGAGAUCCCUGAGUUUCUAAGGAAGAAAGGGCGUUCACGCUAUCCAAGAGCUUAAGAGUUUUAUAGUAAAUACAUAAGAGCAGGUUGGCUCGGAGCUUGCUGCACCAUAUUCUAGAAAAUCGAGCAUAGGAGACGUAGCCAUCACUCUCCCGUUUCUCACUGCAUGCGGGCUUCGACUAUUAGAUGUGGUGUUGGACUGAUAGUGUUGGC